GCUCCCUUAGCUCAGCUGGAUAGAGCAACUGCCUUCUAAGCAGUCGGUCGAUGGUUCGAAUCCAUCAGGGGGCG
rfam:Synechococcus sp. WH 8102 complete genome.